GAUGAAGAACGUAGCGAAAUGCGAUAAGUAAUGCGAAUUGCAGAAUUUCCGUGAGUCAUCGAAUCUUUGAACGCACAUUGCGCCCACUGGUAUUCUGGUGGGCAUGCCUGUUCGAGCGUCAUUUCAACCCUCAAGCCUGGCUUGGUGUUGGGGCUCUGCGUCUGCAGUCCCUUAAAUCCAGUGGCGGACACGCUAGGUCUCCGAGCGCAGUAGUUUCUCCUCGCUCAGGGCGUCCGGCGUGGGCUUGCCUCGCACCCAUCUUUUACAAGGUUGACCUCGGAUCAGGUAGGAAUACCCGCUGAACUUAAGCAUAUCAAUAAGCGGAGGA
rnacentral:misc_RNA from 1 species